rnacentral:rRNA from 1 species
UACGGAGGGUGCGAGCGUUGUCCGGAAUCACUGGGCGUAAAGGGCGCGUAGGCGGCUCAUGAAGGCUGUGGUGAAAGUCCGGGGCUCAACCUCGGAUCGGCCGUGGCGACUCGUGGGCUGGAGCACUGUAGAGGCGGGUGGAAUUCCGGGUGUAGCGGUGGAAUGCGCAGAUAUCAGGAGGAACACCGAUGGCGAAGGCAGGUCUCUGGGCAUUAACUGACGCUGAGGAGCGAAAGCAUGGGGAGCGAACAGG